GCAGUUUUUCCGCAUUAUUACCGACCUUAGUAUAAAUCCGUGGCAUUAUUAAUGCUAAAUGCUUUAUUACACAAACGGUAUCUAGGCAUAUCACGCGUUUUCAAAACAGCCAAUGAGUUUAUAGCGUUGGUUUUGUAUCACGUGAAUCCUAUCAACCAAUCAGAAAUAGCGCGGGCGAAAUGAAAAAAGAAAAAACGGGAUUGGAAAUGGAUAGUAAAUAAAAUUCAGAAUAUUGCAAAACAAGGACAGUUAAAUCUUCUAGAAAUGCAGCUGUGCCCUCUUUACAGCAAUUGUAGAUGAAGCAAAGUAUGGUAGCAAGUUAUAUAGAUAUACACACAUGCCGAAGAAGAUUGUAAUAUCUGGAGAUAACAUUUCCUACGUCACGAAAUAGACACCGUCACACUGGUCUACGUAACAUUCCUAUAGAUGAUUGAUAUAUUUAAGUGCUUUUAAGAACUGUGUUUGAAUGACGAAUUUCUGUGAAUACGGAUUUUUAGUUUUAAUUACUAUUAUUUAAACUUUCUGUAAUAAUCAAUUUGUGCUAUGGACUCAUUUUCCUAAAAUAAUAUGUGAAUGUUAACACGAACAAAUGAUAUGAAUAUCUUCAAAAUAUUUUAUGGGUGUAUUACAAGUGGCUCAUAAAAAUCAUUGUUAAGAUAAAUAGAAUCGAACUUCAAGUUGGUAUAGUUUGUUCUAGAUUUAAACAACAUGCAAUUCAUAAAGGUUACGGCUUGAAAAUAUCGAAACAUGUACAUGUAUAACUCGAUCUCUAAAGAAAAUAUCGCAGUGCGGAUUUUCUCCACUGUGAUACGUAGUUCAUGACUCUGUAUCGCAUCAUACCGGUAUAUCGCCGUUCCGUUGCAACGCUACAUUAAUUUGUCCCUCUGGAAUAAGGCUUGCAACAAUAAAUGACUGUUGUAGCGAAGACAUGUUUAUUUUGUUUAAUAUAUGUAUACAUAUUGAAUAUAUGUUUAUGAAAUAAUAAAUAUUUAAAAGUGACUCGAUUUGG